AUUGAACGCUGGCGGAAUGCUUUACACAUGCAAGUCGAACGGCAGCACGGGAGCUUGCUCCUGGUGGCGAGUGGCGAACGGGUGAGUAAUAUAUCGGAACGUAUCCAAUAAUGGGGGAUAACUAAUCGAAAGGUUGGCUAAUACCGCAUACGCCCUGAGGGGGAAAGCUGGGGAUCUUCGGACCUAGCGUUAAUGGAGCGGCCGAUAUCGGAUUAGCUAGUUGGUGAGGUAAAGGCUCACCAAGGCGACGAUCCGUAGCUGGUCUGAGAGGACGACCAGCCACACUGGAACUGGGACACGGUCCAGACUCCUACGGGAGGCAGCAGUGGGGAAUUUUGGACAAUGGGCGCAAGCCUGAUCCAGCCAUUCCGCGUGAGUGAAGAAGGCCUUCGGGUCGUAAAGCUCUUUCGCAAGGGAAGAAACGAUUUAGGUGAAUAAUCUAAGUUAAUGACGGUACCUUGAUAAGAAGCACCGGCUAACUACGUGCCAGCCGCCGCAGUAAAAC
rnacentral:rRNA from 1 species